rnacentral:snRNA from 1 species
GGUUGUGAGGGCGAUCUGGCUGCGACAUCUGUCACCACAUUGAUCGCCAGGGUUGAUUCGGCUGAUCUGGCUGGCUAGGCGGGUGUCCCCUUCCUCCCUCACCGCUCCAUGUGCGUCCCUCCCGAAGCUGCGCGCUCGGUCGAAGAGGACGACCAUCCCCGAUAGAGGAGAGGACCGUUCUUCGGUCAAGGGUAUACGAGUAGCUGCGCUCCCCUGCUAGAACCUCCAAACAAGCUCUCAAAUGUCCAUUUUCCAAUUAAAAAAAUCACAAGGCAUGAAAAGAAAAUAAAAGGUAUGGUCCAUU